rnacentral:rRNA from 1 species
GAUGAACGCUGGCUACGUGCCUAAUACAUGCAAGUCGAGCGAACACAACAGGAGCUUUCUCCUCUGACGUUAUCGGCGGACGGGUGAGUAACACAUGGGUAACCUACCUAUAACACUCGGAUAACUUCCGGAAACCGGAGCUAAUAACGAAUUAUAUAUUUCACCGCCUGGUUCAAUAGUGACAGACGAUUUUUCUGUCGCUUAUAGAUGGGUCCGCGCCGCAUUAGCUAGUUGGUAAGGUAACGGCUUACCAAGGCAACGAUGCGUAGCCGACCUGAGAGGGGGAUCGGCCACACUGGAACUGAGACACGGUCCAGACUCCUACGGGAGGCAGCAGUAGGGAAUCUUCCGCAAUGGGCGAAAGCCUGACGGAGCAACGCCCCGUGAGUGAUGAAGGUCUUCGGAUCGUAAAACUCUGUUAUUAGGGAAGAACAAAUGUGUAAGUAACUAUGCACGUCUUGACGGUACCUAAUCAGAAAGCCACGGCUAACUACGUG